rnacentral:rRNA from 1 species
CCUACGGGUGGCAGCAGUGAGGAAUAUUGGUCAAUGGACGAGAGUCUGAACCAGCCAAGUAGCGUGAAGGAUGACUGCCCUAUGGGUUGUAAACUUCUUUUAUAUGGGAAUAAAAUGUUCCACGUGUGGGAUUUUGUAUGUACCAUAUGAAUAAGGCUCGGCUAACUCAGUGCCAGCAGCCGCGGUAAUACGGAGGAUCCGAGCGUUAUCCGGAUUUAUUGGGUUUAAAGGGGGCGUAGGUGGAUUGUUAAGUCCGUUGUGAAAGUUUGCGGCUCAACCGUAAAAGUGCAGUUGAAACUGGCAGUCUUGAGUACAGUAGAGGUGGGCGGAAUUCGUGGUGUAGCGGUGAAAUGCUUAGAUAUCACGAAGAACGCCGAUUGCGAAGGCAGUUCACUGGACUGCAACUGACACUGAGGCUCGAAAGUGUGGGUAUCAAACAGGAUUAGAUACCCUGGUAGUC